rnacentral:rRNA from 1 species
GACGCUAAAGCUCGAAGGUGCGGGUAUCGAACAGGAUUAGAUACCCUGGUAGUCCGCACGGUAAACGAUGGAUGCCCGCUGUCGGCGACAGACUGUCGGCGGCCAAGCGAAAGCGUUAAGCAUCCCACCUGGGGAGUACGCCGGCAACGGUGAAACUCAAAGGAAUUGACGGGGGCCCGCACAAGCGGAGGAACAUGUGGUUUAAUUCGAUGAUACGCGAGGAACCUUACCCGGGCUUGAACUGCAGGAGAACGAUCCAGAGAUGGUGAGGCCCUUCGGGGCUCCUGUGGAGGUGCUGCAUGGUUGUCGUCAGCUCGUGCCGUGAGGUGUCGGCUUAAGUGCCAUAACGAGCGCAACCCCUUUCGCCAGUUGCCAUCAGGUGAUGCUGGGCACUCCGGCGACACUGCCACCGUAAGGUGUGAGGAAGGUGGGGAUGACGUCAAAUCAGCACGGCCCUUACGUCCGGGGCUACACACGUGUUACAAUGGGUGGUACAGAGAGUCAGCGGCCGGCAACGUCCGCUCAAUCAAGAAAGCCAUCCUCAGUUCGGAUUGGGGUCUGCAACCCGACCCCAUGAAGCUGGAUUCGCUAGUAAUCGCG